GCGGCGGCGAUGAGGGCUGGGCCUGCGCGCGCGCUUCCGCGGUAUGCUGUGCGUGCGUGCGUACGUGCGUGCGUGCGUACGUGGUGCGCGCGCACGCAUAGGAGGCGGGAACUCAAGCCCCGCCCACCGCCUCGUUGACCCGCCCUUAUUCCGCCCUCCGCCUGGCAGGCACUUCCCGCCCUCUGGGCGGGUGCUAGGCGGGUUGGGCCCUUGGCCCCUUUACGGCCCUCCGAUUUAGGAAAUUGAGAGAAGAGGAAGUCUAAUGCUAGUUAGGAAAUCCUAUCCAUCUGUAUUACCCUGGCAUUAGGGGAAUCUGAGACCCACAGAGGUUGAAAAACUAAUCGAGAUUAUACAGCUGAUAAGGGACAGAGCCAGAUUGGUACCCAACUAUAACUCCUGAUCUAGCACUUGAAGCCACUGACCAGACAUUCUCAACUGCAGUGGGAAAACUGAGGUUCUGAACAGUCAAGAGUCUUGGUUGCUAGAAGGCAGUACUUCCACCAUGGCUGCCAGCUGGGCUCUUUAAGCUCCUCCUGCCAAGGUGUCACAGGACAAGAAGAGGAAUCACCAUCCUGGCAGGAAUAAUUGGCCCUAGUCACCAGGAAGAGAUAUAUGCCCAGGAGGGGGAUUGCUGGAUCAUAUGGAAGACACCUGCACCCAAACCCUUGUCUUAGGGUCUGCUUUUGCAAGAAAUCAAAGGAAGACACCUUGAAGGACGGAAAAGAUGUUGACAGAUAGAAGAAGCCUGGUGCAGUGUUCCAGAUCAUUAAUGAAGACGUUAAGUGAGACCAGAAUGAAACCGUUUUUCCGUGGCAUCCUGCUAGACACCUUCCAACAACUUGACACCCUGCCAUUUGCUGUUUCAUUACCCUUUGUUUACCUUGCGAGCCCAGGCCCUUGCUUCUCAAAGAGGCAGGAAGCUUGAUAUUUCUACUGCUGCAGAGAUGCCACUUAAAGGUGGAGCUAUUAAAACCUGGCAGAUUGUCAAUACAUCCUUUUGAAUGUGAAUUAAAUGUGGAUUAUGAAUAGAGCAUUGUCAGUAAAUACUUGGUUGCUCUCCCUC